CAAUAGCGUAUAUUAAAGUUGUUGCAGUUAAAAAGCUUGUAGUUGGAUUUCUGGUGGGAGCGAUCGGUCUGGCGCUUAGCGCGAGUACUUGCAUCGUCUCCGGCCAUCCUUGGGGAGAGUCUGUCUGGCAUUAAGUUGUCGGGCAGAGGAUCCUCAUCGUUUACUGUGAAAAAAUUAGAGUGUUCAAAGCAGGCUUAUGCCGUUGAAUAUAUUAGCAUGGAAUAAUAAGAUAGGACUUUGGUACUAUUUUGUUGGUUUGCGCACCAAAGUAAUGAUUAAUAGGGACAGUUGGGGGUAUUCGUAUUCCGUUGUCAGAGGUGAAAUUCUUGGAUUUACGGAAGACGAACUACUGCGAAAGCAUUUACCAAGGAUGUUUUCAUUAA
rnacentral:rRNA from 1 species